GGUGUUUUUUUUCCCCCUGGGACUCUCCGGCUCGGUAGUUUUAGAAGCACCGUGCUUUCGGUUGCCAGAGUGCUAGUGAUUGCUUAGGCUUGACCCUCACUGCUGUUUGCUCUCCCUUCUCACUGAUUCUUAUCUCUGGUUUGUUGUGCUUUUUAACAUAGCAGGGCUUUGGACUUAUUAGAAAUAAUGAUACAUACCCACAUUCAAAUUAACCACGUCUCUUUGUAACCGCUUUAUUUACGGCGACAUGUUUUGAUAAGUGAGCCCAGCAGUCAAAACAAAGCACUGAAUUGAAUCCUGCUGGUUGCUGGAAUUUAGCAGUAGUGGAAGCCAGUUGGUGGCAGCAGAAGAGGCCAGAUAGGAGACAGAAUGGCAAUGAAGAAAGCUGGGAUUAAAAAAGAUCAAGCUUCUCUGUGAAAAAGACUAUGUGGCUUCUACCCAGCAACCAGUGAGAAGCCGAGACCCUUGGACCAAAGGUAGUGAGAAACUAAAUCGUGCCCACCAUCAUUUAAGUGAGAAUGGAAACAGAUCCUUCUCUAGUUGUGCCUGAGAUGACUGUUUUGCCAUCAAACACUUUCAUUCCCACUUCAGAAGAAACCUCGAGCCAGAUGAAAGAGAGACAGUGGUUCCCAACCCACAGAAUUGUGGACUUAGAAAGAGAACCCAGGAUGGUGAGAUGGCUUUAGUGGUAAAGGAUCUUGCUUCCAGGCCCAAGGACCCGAGUUUAAGCCUGAGAACCUAUGUGGAGGUUGAGUCUCAUGACCCACAUUGAGGCUUGGAUCUCCAUGGUUAAGGUGCUGGCAUCUGGCAAUCCCCAAUCCCGGCACUGUAGUGGGUAGCCAUUCCAGCUUUGAUCUGGAAGUUCCAACCCCCAUUGAGGCUUCAGUAACUGUCACGC